rnacentral:rRNA from 1 species
UACGAGGGGGGCAAGCGUUGUUCGGAAUUAUUGGGCGUAAAGGGUGCGUAGGCGGUUUGACAAGUCAUCUGUGAAAUCUAUGGGCUCAACCCAUAGCCUGCAGGCGAAACUGUCGGGCUUGAGUAUUGGAGAGGUGAGUGGAAUUUCCGGUGUAGCGGUGAAAUGCGUAGAUAUCGGAAGGAACACCUGUGGCGAAAGCGGCUCACUGGACAAUAACUGACGCUGAUGCACGAAAGCUAGGGGAGCAAACAGG